GCGAGCGUUAAUCGGAAUUACUGGGCGUAAAGACGCAUGCAGGUGGUUUGUUAAGUUCAGAUGUGAAAGACCCGGGCGUCAACCUACGGAAUAGCAUUUGUAAACUAGGCAGACUAGAGUACUGUAGAGGGGGGUAGGAAGUUUCAGGUGUAGCGGUGAAAUGCGUAGAGAUCUGAAGGAAUACCGGUGGCGAAGGCGGCCCCCUGGACAGAUACUGACACUCAGAUGCGAAAGCGUGGGGAGCAAACAGGAUUAGAUACCCUGGUAG
rnacentral:rRNA from 1 species